rnacentral:tRNA from 1 species
AAGGAUUUAAGUUAAAUAAACUAAUAACCUUCAAAGUUAUAAAUAAACUUUUAAAUUAAGCCUUG